CAAUCUACCUUUCCGUCCGGGAUAACUAGCCGAAAGGUUAGCUAAUACCAGAUGCGCUCAUCGAACGGCAUCGUUUGAUGAUGAAAGCAGCAAUGCGCGGAUUGAGGAGCCUGCGGCCCAUUAGCUAGUUGGUGAGGUAACGGCCCACCAAGGCAACGAUGGGUAGCUGGUCUGAGAGGACGACCAGCCACACUGGGACUGAGACACGGCCCAG
rnacentral:rRNA from 1 species